rnacentral:RNase_P_RNA from 1 species
GAAGCACGCCAGACUGCCGCUGGUGCAAGGGUGGAAACACCGCACUGGAGGAAGGUCCGGACUGCACAGGGCAGCGUAGCAGCUAACGGCUGUCCACCGCGAGGUGAGGAUCAGAGCUACAGAGACGAGCCGGUUAAGUCCGGGUGAAACGAGCAAUCUCUACGCGCAGCAAUACCAAGUAGGCACACGUUGACGGGGCCCCCGGAGUGUGCGGGUAGGUAGCACCGAGCCGUCUGGCGAC